AUUGAACGCUGGCGGCAGGCCUCACACAUGCAAGUCGAACGAGUGGCGGACGGGUGAGUAAUGUCUGGGACACUGCCAGAUGGAGGGGGAUAACUCCUGAAAACGGUAGCUAAUACCGCAUACCAUCGGAUGUGCCACGAGGGGAUUAGCUAGUAGGUGGGGUAACGGCUAACCUAGGCGAAGAUCCAUAGCUGGGCUGAGAGGAUGACCGGCCACACUGGAACGGAGACACGGUCCAGACUCCUACGGGAGGCAGCAGUGGGGAAUAUUGCACAAUGGGCGCAAGCCUGAUGCAGCCAUGCCGCGUGUAUGAAGAAGGCCUUCGGGUUGUAAAGUACUGUCAGCGAGGAGGCGUUACUCGCAGAAGAAGCACCGGCUAACUCCGUGCCAGCCGCCGCGGUAAUAC
rnacentral:rRNA from 1 species